rnacentral:rRNA from 1 species
GACGAACGCUGGCGGCGUGCUUAACACAUGCAAGUCGAACGGUGAAGCGCCUUCCUUUUUGUGGGUCGUGGUUGAGUGGCGAACGGGUGAGUAAAACGUGGGUAACUGGCCCCUUCUUCCUGGAUAACCGCAUGAAAGUGUGGUAAAUACGGGUAUUCCGGGGCUUCUGGCAGGAUGGGUCUGGGAAAGUUAUUGUUUCGGUGGGGGAUGGGCUCGCGGCCUAUCAGCUUGUUGGUGGGGUGAUGGCCUACCAAGGCGGUGACGGGUAGCCGGCCUGAGAGGGUGGACGGUCACACUGGGACUGAGACACGGCCCAGACUCCUACGGGAGGCAGCAGUGGGGAAUAUUGCACAAUGGGCGCAAGCCUGAUGCAGCGACGCCGCGUGAGGGAUGGAGGCCUGCGGGUUGUGAACCUCUUUCGCCAGUGAAGCAGGCCUGCCUCUUUUGUGGGUGGGUUGACGGUAGCUGGAUAAGAAGCGCCGGCUAACUACGUG